UACGUAGGGUGCGAGCGUUAAUCGGAAUUACUGGGCGUAAAGCGCGCGCAGGCGGCUAUCCAAGUCAGUGGUGAAAGCCCGGAGCUCAACUCCGGAACUGCCAUUGAAACUGUUUAGCUUGAGGACGAGAGAGGUGAGUGGAAUUCCCAGUGUAGAGGUGAAAUUCGUAGAUAUUGGGAAGAACACCGGUGGCGAAGGCGGCUCACUGGCUCGUUUCUGACGCUCAGGCGCGACAGCGUGGGGAUCAAACAGG
rnacentral:rRNA from 1 species